rnacentral:rRNA from 1 species
AUUAAUUCGAUGCAACGCGAAAACCUUACCUACCCUUGACAUGUCCGGAAUCCGAAGAGAUUUGGGAGUGCUCGCAAGAGAGCCGGAACACAGGUGCUGCAUGGCUGUCGUCAGCUCGUGUCGUGAGAUGUUGGGUUAAGUCCCGCAACGAGCGCAACCCUUGUCAUUAGUUGCCAUCAUUUGGUUGGGCACUCUAAUGAGACUGCCGGUGACAAACCGGAGGAAGGUGGGGAUGACGUCAAGUCCUCAUGGCCCUUAUGGGUAGGGCUUCACACGUCAUACAAUGGUCAGUACAGAGGGUUGCCAACCCGCGAGGGGGAGCUAAUCCCACAAAGCCGAUCGUAGUCCGGAUCGCAGUCUGCAACUCGACUGCGUGAAGUCGGAAUCGCUAGUAAUCGUGGAUCAGCAUGUCACGGUGAAUACGGUUCCCGGGUCUU